UACGUAGGUGGCAAGCGUUGUCCGGAUUUACUGGGUGUAAAGGGAGCGCAGACGGAACUGCAAGUCUGAUGUGAAAGCCCGGGGCUCAACCGCGGGACUGCAUUGGAAACUGUAGAUCUGGAGUGACGGAGGGGCAAGCGGAAUUCCUAGUGUAGCGGUGAAAUGCGUAGAUAUCAAGAGGAACACAGGUGGCGAAGGCGGCUCUCUGGACAGAUACUGACGCUGAGGCUCUAAAGUUAGGGGAGCAAACAGGAUUAGA
rnacentral:rRNA from 1 species